CAAAUACUCCCUCCGUCCGGAAUUACUUGUCACAAACAUGGAUUCAAAUGGAUGUAUCUGGAACUAAAAUACAUCUAGAUACAUCCAUUCCUACGACAAGUAUUUCCGGACGGAGGGAGUAUAUU
rfam:Hordeum vulgare subsp. vulgare, WGS project CAJW01000000 data, contig: morex_contig_1559783